GACGAACGCUGGCGGCGUGCUUAACACAUGCAAGUCGAACGGAAAGGCCCUGCUUUUGUGGGGUGCUCGAGUGGCGAACGGGUGAGUAACACGUGAGUAACCUGCCCUUGACUUUGGGAUAACUUCAGGAAACUGGGGCUAAUACCGGAUAGGAGCUCCUGCUGCAUGGUGGGGGUUGGAAAGUUUCGGCGGUUGGGGAUGGACUCGCGGCUUAUCAGCUUGUUGGUGGGGUAGUGGCUUACCAAGGCUUUGACGGGUAGCCGGCCUGGGAGGGUGACCGGCCACAUUGGGACUGAGAUAGGGCCCAGACUGCUACGGGAGGCAGCAGUGGGGAAUAUUGCACAAUGGGCGGAAGCCUGAUGCAGCAACGCCGCGUGCGGGAUGACGGCCUUCGGGUUGUAAACCGCUUUCGCCUGUGACGAAGCGUGAGUGACGGUAAUGGGUAAAGAAGCACCGGCUAACUACGUG
rnacentral:rRNA from 1 species